GACAGAGGGUGCAAACGUUGUUCGGAUUUACUGGGCGUAAAGCGCGUGUAGGCGGCUUGCAAGUCGGAUGUGAAAGCCCACGGCUCAACCGUGGAAGUGCAUCCGAAACUGCAUGGCUGGAGUCUCGGAGAGGAAGGUGGAAUGCUUGGUGUAGAGGUGAAAUUCGUAGAUAUCAAGCAGAACACCUGCGGCGAAGGCGGCCUUCUGGACGAUGACUGACGCUGAGACGCGAAAGCGUGGGGAGCAAACAGG
rnacentral:rRNA from 1 species